GAAUCUAUUCCUGAAGUGAUCCAGGAACCUAGGGUUCUGUUUGACAGAAAUUGGUUGCUGCAUCAACAUCUGAAGCUCCAUAUCAUGAUUAAAAGGACCAAGAUGUGGCAACAAAGCUGGCCUCAUAUCAAAGCCUGAAUUAUUCAUCCUCACUGCCUGGAUCCCAUUACCAGCUUCCAUUGUUGCAGGAUCCAUGAAUUCAACAUCAAUG
rnacentral:misc_RNA from 1 species